rnacentral:rRNA from 1 species
GUUGUAUGGUUAAGCGACCAAGCGUAUACGGUGGAUGCCUUGGCAGUCAGAGGCGAUGAAGGACGUAGUAACUUGCGAAAAGCGUUGGUGAGCUAGUAACAAGCAUUUGAGCCAGCGAUGUCCGAAUGGGGAAACCCGGCAGCAUAAGCUGUCAUCAAUACGUGAAUACAUAGCGUAUUGAGGCGAACGAGGGGAACUGAAACAUCUAAGUACCCUCAGGAAAAGAAAUCAACCGAGAUUCCCCAAGUAGCGGCGAGCGAACGGGGAUUAGCCCUUAAGUCUUUGGGGUGUUAGUGGAAUGUGUUGGAAAGCACAGCGGCACAGGGUGAUAGCCCCGUACACGUAAACUAACCAGAGAUGAAAUCGAGUAAGGCGGCACACGUGACAUGUUGUCUGAAUAUGGGGGGACCAUCCUCCAAGGCUAAAUACUCCUGACUGACCGAUAGUGAACCAGUACCGUGAGGGAAAGGCGAAAAGAACCCCUGUGAGGGGAGUGAAAUAGAACCUGAAACCGUAUACGUACAAGCAGUGGAAGCGGUCCUUGAGACCGUGACUGCGUACCUUUUGUAUAAUGGGUCAGCGACUUACAUUUAGUAGCGAGGUUAAGCGAAUAGCGGAGCCGUAGGGAAACCGAGUGUUAACUGCGCGUUUAGUUGCUAGGUGUAGACCCGAAACCCGGUGAUCUAGCCAUGGGCAGGUUGAAGGUUGAGUAACAUCAACUGGAGGACCGAACCGACUAAUGUUGAAAAAUUAGCGGAUGACUUGUGGCUGGGGGUGAAAGGCCAAUCAAACCGGGAGAUAUCUGGUUCUCCUCGAAAGCUAUUUAGGUAGCGCCUCGGACGAACACCUUUGGGGGUAGAGCACUGUUAAGGCUAGGGGGUCAUCCCGACUUACCAACCCUUUGCAAACUCCGAAUACCAAAGAGUGCUAUCCGGGAGACAGACGGCGGGUGCUAACGUCCGUCGUCAAAAGGGAAACAACCCAGACCGUCAGCUAAGGUCCCAAAGUAAUUGCUAAGUGGGAAACGAUGUGGGAAGGCUUAGACAGCUAGGAUGUUGGCUUAGAAGCAGCCAUCAUUUAAAGAAAGCGUAAUAGCUCACUAGUCGAGUCGGCCUGCGCGGAAGAUGUAACGGGGCUAAGCAAUUCACCGAAGCUACGGGUAUCAGCGCAUCACCUGAUGCGAUUUGCUGGCGUGAUUCACUUUGUGAAUGACGCCCAAGCACCCAACACGUUGAGUCGAAAGAUAAAACUGGGUGUUUAAGUCGUAUGAGGGAUGCGCUGAUGCGGUAGAGGAGCGUUCUGUAAGCCGUUGAAGGCGAAGGGGUAACCCACGCUGGAGGUAUCAGAAGUGCGAAUGCUGACAUGAGUAACGAUAAAGGGGGUGAAAAACCCCCUCGCCGAAAGACCAAGGGUUCCUGUCCAACGUUAAUCGGGGCAGGGUGAGUCGACCCCUAAGGCGAGGCUGAAAGGCGUAGUCGAUGGGAAACGGGUUAAUAUUCCCGUACUUCUGCUAACUGCGAUGGAGAGACGGAGAAGGCUAGGCCAGCGCGGCGUUGGUUGUCCGCGUUUAAGGUAGUAGGUGGUGUGCUUAGGCAAAUCCGGGCACACAUACACUGAGAGCUGAUGACGAGUCCCUACGGGGAUGAAGUGGUUGAUGCCAUGCUUCCAGGAAAAUCUUCUAAGCUUCAGGUUAGUAGAAAUCGUACCCCAAACCGACACAGGUGGUCGGGUAGAGAAUACCAAGGCGCUUGAGAGAACUCGGCUGAAGGAACUAGGCAAAAUGGUACCGUAACUUCGGGAGAAGGUACGCUGCCGGCGGUGAAGACCUCGCGUCGUAAGCUGCUGGCAGUCGCAGAUACCAGGUGGCUGCAACUGUUUAUCAAAAACACAGCACUGUGCAAAAUCGCAAGAUGACGUAUACGGUGUGACGCCUGCCCGGUGCCGGAAGGUUAAUUGAUUGGGUUAUCUUCGGAGAAGCUCAUGAUCGAAGCCCCGGUAAACGGCGGCCGUAACUAUAACGGUCCUAAGGUAGCGAAAUUCCUUGUCGGGUAAGUUCCGACCUGCACGAAUGGCGUAAUGAUGGCCACGCUGUCUCCAGCCGAGACUCAGUGAAGUUGAAAUUGCGGUGAAGAUGCCGUAUACCCGCGGCUAGACGGAAAGACCCCGUGAACCUUUACUAUAGCUUGGCACUGAACAUUGACCCUACAUGUGUAGGAUAGGUGGGAGACUAUGAAGAUGAGACGCCAGUCUUGUUGGAGUCAACCUUGAAAUACCACCCUUGUAGUGUUGAUGUUCUAACCUUGGUCCCUUAUCGGGAUUAGGGACAGUGCCUGGUGGGUAGUUUGACUGGGGCGGUCUCCUCCCAAAGAGUAACGGAGGAGCACGAAGGUUGGCUAAGUACGGUCGGACAUCGUACGGUUAGUGCAAUGGCAUAAGCCAGCUUAACUGCGAGACAGACACGUCGAGCAGAUGCGAAAGCAGGUCAUAGUGAUCCGGUGGUUCUGAAUGGAAGGGCCAUCGCUCAACGGAUAAAAGGUACUCCGGGGAUAACAGGCUGAUACCGCCCAAGAGUUCAUAUCGACGGCGGUGUUUGGCACCUCGAUGUCGGCUCAUCACAUCCUGGGGCUGAAGUCGGUCCCAAGGGUAUGGCUGUUCGCCAUUUAAAGUGGUACGCGAGCUGGGUUCAGAACGUCGUGAGACAGUUCGGUCCCUAUCUGCCGUGGGCGUUGGAUGAUUGAGGGGAGCUGCUCCUAGUACGAGAGGACCGGAGUGGACGAACCGCUGGUGUUCGGGUUGUCAUGCCAAUGGCAUUGCCCGGUAGCUACGUUCGGAAUCGAUAACCGCUGAAAGCAUCUAAGCGGGAAGCGAGCCCCAAGAUGAGUCAUCCCUAGGUCCCAGAGACCUCUAAAGAGCCGUUCGAGACCAGGACGUUGAUAGGCAGGGUGUGUAAGCGUUGCGAGGCGUUGAGCUAACCUGUACUAAUGACUCGAGAGGCUUAACCAUACAACCCAGAUGGGUUUU